rnacentral:lncRNA from 1 species
AUGGAAUAGGAAGCAAAAUAUCCAACGGACAACAUAUCCUACUGUAUACUUCUGAAGCACCUUUAUUUUGGGAAUUCAAAUUAGAACUAAGUUUAGAAACAAAAUCUUAACUAUCAUAUGAUUUCCUCUGCUUUUGUUUGGCCUUAAGGAAUGAGCUUAAACCAGUAAAGCGAAAUUAACCGAUUUAAACCAAACUAACGAGAUCCAACAAUUAAACAACAAUGAAAGGAAAUGAUGAGCCAAGCCUCUAGCGGAUUUCAGGAAGACAAUUUGCACAUCUACACAGGGUUUUAAACCCACCAAAGUUGUUCACAUAUCAUUCAAAUUAUAACAAACAAACAACAACAAAACAUCCUCAAAACCUGCUCGUACACCUACCGAACUUGCUAUUUAGUGUCGAGACCAAGUGAUUAACUCAAAUACAAAGCCCAGUUUUGCGAUAUACUAGUAAAAUCUCAUUUGGUACUUACUAUAAUAGUUCUACUACAUGGAAUUAAAUAGUUAGAAAAAUAAAGAAAAGCUAAGGCAACACAUCUUGUAUUCCAUAUAAUUUCCACUUGAAUUACAUAAUCAAUAUUCACAUUUUUGCUCGUAGAUAAAAAAAUACCUGGGAAGCAAGAAACAACAACAAAUAAGAAAUCAGCAGUGAGCAGCAGCAGUUAGCUCGAGUUUGACCAAACGAAUAAUGAACAGCUCAAGAUAGACCAAUGGAAUAGUAAAAAAUCAUCAGGAAACUAACUUUUAAACCAGCUUAAACCAUUUCUUCUCUACUAAGGUGUACAAAUUCAGCAGUUUUUUCCAGAGAUUCUAAACUAUCAACGGGUUGAAAUGAGCAAAACCAGCAGUAAGACCCCAAAAAUACCAAGUUUAUUCCAUUUUCCCCAGAUGAACCAAAAUGUGUUUCAGGAAUUGAAAACCUUAGAAACCAAAACGAUGAAACAGUAUUUUCACAAAGUUCUCAGCCGUCUAUAUUUUCUCUAUUUUUAGCUCCCUCCCUGUUCUUCUUCCUUCUUUUUAAGCUGCAAGUAACUAUGCCUUUAUAGGCAAGUUACUAGCGUAGCCCAAGGGGUUAAGUUAUAGAAAACCGGAGAUUUCUAUUUAUAGCAAGAGUUGUCGUCCA